GAUGAACGCUAGCUACAGGCUUAACACAUGCAAGUCGAGGGGCAGCAUGAACAAAGCUUGCUUUGUUUGAUGGCGACCGGCGCACGGGUGCGUAACACGUAUCCAAUCUGCCCGCGGCUCGGGGAUAGCCCAUCGAGAGAUGGAUUAAUACCCGAUGGCGUGGUCACUCCGCAUGGGGUUUCCACUAAAGGUUUUCCGGCCGCGGAUGAGGAUGCGUAUGAUUAGGUAGUAGGCGGGGUAACGGCCCAACUAGCCUUCGAUCAUUAGGGGUUCUGCGAGGAAGGUCGCCCAAACUGGAACAGAGUCGCGGUCCAGACUCCUACGGGAGGCAUCAGUGAGAAAUAUUAGUCCAUGGGCGAGAGCCUGAACCAGCCCAGUAGCGUGAAGGAAGACUGCCCUAUGGGUUGUAAACUUCUUUUGUUCGGGAAUAAAGUGCAGGAUGUAUACUGUUUUGUAUGUACCGUUCGAAUAAUCAUCGGCUAAUUCCGUGCCAGCCGCCGCGGUAAGAC
rnacentral:rRNA from 1 species